CUUUACAACCCGAAGGCCUUCUUCAUACACGCGGCAUGGCUGCAUCAGGCUUGCGCCCAUUGUGCAAUAUUCCCCACUGCUGCCUCCCGUAGGAGUCUGGACCGUGUCUCAGUUCCAGUGUGGCUGGUCAUCCUCUCAGACCAGCUAGGGAUCGUCGCCUAGGUGAGCCAUUACCCCACCUACUAGCUAAUCCCAUCUGGGCACAUCUGAUGGCAUGAGGCCCGAAGGUCCCCCACUUUGGUCUUGCGACGUUAUGCGGUAUUAGCUACCGUUUCCAGUAGUUAUCCCCCUCCAUCAGGCAGUUUCCCAGACAUUACUCACCCGUCCGCCGCUCGUCACCCGAGAGCAAGCUCUCUGUGCUACCGCUCGACUUGCAUGUGUUAGGCCUGCCGCCAGCGUUCAAU
rnacentral:rRNA from 1 species